UACGGGGGGGGUAAGCGUUGUUCGGAAUUACUGGGCGUAAAGGGCGUGUAGGCGGCCAACUAAGUCCGACGUGAAAUCCCCAGGCUUAACCUGGGAACUGCGUCGGAUACUGGAUGGCUUGAAUUCGGGAGAGGGAUGCAGAAUUCCAGGUGUAGCGGUGAAAUGCGUAGAUAUCUGGAGGAAUACCGGUGGCGAAGGCGGCAUCCUGGACCGACAUUGACGCUGAAGCGCGAAAGCUAGGGGAGCAAACGGG
rnacentral:rRNA from 1 species